rnacentral:rRNA from 1 species
AUUGAACGCUGGCGGCAUGCCUUACACAUGCAAGUCGAACGGCAGCACGGGUGCUUGCACCUGGUGGCGAGUGGCGAACGGGUGAGUAAUAUAUCGGAACGUACCUUAUUGUGGGGGAUAACGCAGCGAAAGCUGUGCUAAUACCGCAUACGCCCUGAGGGGGAAAGAGGGGGAUCGAAAGACCUCGCGCGAUUAGAGCGGCCGAUGCCUGAUUAGCUUGUUGGUGGGGUAAAAGCCCACCAAGGCGACGAUCAGUAGCUGGUCUGAGAGGACGAUCAGCCACACUGGGACUGAGACACGGCCCAGACUCCUACGGGAGGCAGCAGUGGGGAAUUUUGGACAAUGGGGGCAACCCUGAUCCAGCAAUGCCGCGUGAGUGAAGAAGGCCUUCGGGUUGUAAAGCUCUUUUGUCAGGGAAGAAACACCGGCUCUAACACAGUCCGGGAAUGACGGUACCUGAAGAAUAAGCACCGGCUAACUACGUGCCAGCCGCCGCGGUAA